ACAUGAUAUUUCUGCAGUGAGAACUUUCUUGAAUUUCAGCUUCUUCAUUUGUCAAGGAGUCCUUGGAUUUUGGAACUUUUAUUAGUAAAUCUUCCAGAUAUCUAAUCACUAAUUGUCAGAUAUAAGAAUGCACUAAAACUUACUUGAAUUUCACAAUUUAAAAUCUUAACUUUAAAAAAUAUAACAUGUAGCCCAGUGUAUAAGGCACAAAUAUUCAAUUUAAUGAAACUUGUGUGGAUUUCUGUUUUCAGAUUUGGCAAGCAAUAUUCACGGUCACUUAAGGAGUAGGAUCUAGUGUAUUACUGUUACCUGUGGGUGGCUGCAUAGAAAUUUAUAGGCCUGGGAAAUGCUAGGUAAUGAGGAUGCUCCAUAAAGAGGCACAUUCCACCAGGGAGAAAGUCAUCCAAUUGCAUCACAAUUGUCAAGAAAUAUAUCUACUCAGUCACAUGGUGUAUUUUUCAUGGUCUUUGCUUUAUUCAUUUCAUGUGCAUUUUGACUAAAAAGAUACAGUGUGCAUUUUAUUAUCUCUUAUAUUUUCUAAUAAAUACAAAUGUGGAAUGCUUUUUUUCUCUUUUCCAUUCUUCUCAGAUGUGUGAUGAUCAUCAAAUAAGAGAACAAUUUUGAAAUAUAACAGUCCAUUUGGGCUGCUAUAACAAAAUACCAUAGACUGGGUAGCUUAGAAACAACACACAGUUAUUUCUCAGGAUUCUGGAGGCUGGAAAUCUGAGGAGAUGAUGGAUAUUCUCUAAACUUACAGUGAUCAUCAUUACAUGAUUAUAAUUCCUUUCAGACCUCGAACAACCAUCUAAGCCAUUCACCUGCAUGGGAAUCCAUGUGUAUCUGCACUUUGGACCACUUCUCCUUCCACACACACAACAGCAACCUAUUUGGAUUGCUUGCUGUUGUGCCUACUGGAAAGAUUUCCUUUCAUCACCGCCCUUGAGGACGAAUGCUGAGUGGGACUGUGACACAACAGAAGUCCGUUUUUGCCUGCGUCAACAUUGCACUGACUCAUCUGUGCACCAGGACUGUUACUCUUCCUCGGUCAGGUGGUUGGAAGGGACCAGCUCUCCCUUCCCCAUGAGACCUUAUAAAUAAGCUGAGGGAUUUGUGUUAAUACAAAAAAGGCGAAUGAACGUGCAAAGGAAUCAGCCUGGGCUUGGUGCAGAGCUACCUGGACUAGAUUUCUGAGAAAUCUAAUGUCAGCCAGAGAAGCGCCCCAACUGAGGAACUUAAGGAUGAACCAAAGCUUCAGAGCAAAAGCACGUCAGCUAAGUUUGUACCGAUAUGCAUGGUGGAGUACAUACACAUUAGUCUUCCAUGGACUACCAUAAGGGACCUUGAACUUUUUGUUUGCACAUCAGUUAAAAUAAUACUGAAAAUCUUUUUAUUUCUUCCACAUUAGGUUAACAGCUAAAAUAGUUUACUCUAAGUUUAAGUUGUUGAAAAUAAUGUAAUUUCUAGCCAGUUAUAAGUAUUAGCCCUACAACAAACUGUCAAAUAAUUAAAAAAAAUUUCCAGUGGAAUCUUGAAAUAAUAGCAAUUCAAUAGCCACGAUACCUCAUUUAAAUAUGGGAACAAGAUUAUUUUAAUAAUCAGAAAAUUUAUAUAUACCAUUCCUUGUCUUCUUGAAUUUUCCCUUCCAUUCAACUCCCUCCACAAAAUUUUAAUCUAAUGGAAUUUUUUUAUGCUUGGAUGUCUUAUAUUGAUUACAUACACUUUGUAAAAAUUAAGUAUAUGAAUUGAAAUCUGAAAUUAACAUGUUUUCUAUAAGCCUCUAAUAGAUCUAACUUUAUUACUGUUGUUAUGACACAAAGCAACAUGCUUUGCAAAUUUUUAUAGUUAUAUAAUUAUAUCUAUAAACAUAGAAGUAAACUUGAUAUGAGAAAGGCUCACUCAUUCAUAUACAGGUCUAUGGGACUGCAAGGGUAAGCCCCUCUGGCCACCGGUGCCAGGCGAUCUAGAUGAGUCCUCUGGGAGGCAGUUUCAAAAACCACGGCACCAGGCACAGAACCCGGACCGCACAUGCGCGUGAUAGGGCAUUUCCGGAGACGCGGGCGCUCAGAGCGCGGAGAGGAAGAGCGCGAGCAUGGCGCCGCCCUCCUGUCUCUGUUUCUGGAACGCUCCCCAGCAGGCCGCCAAAUGAGUGUCAACUCAGACGCUUGCCCCUUGGGCGAAGCUCCCAGACAAGCUGAGCGUGUCCCACACACAGUCACGGAGCAGCCCGGUCGUCGGCGGGAACCGUGGGGCGGGUGAGUCCGGGCUGGAGUCGUGUGCGUUUUCUAAGCUAGGUAUUUCAGGGGCUUGUCUCUCAGGUGCAGGUCUUAAAAGGUUGAAGAUGUCCCAUGUGGGGUUCAGGCCCUUGUCUCCUCGGGGAGAAGCUCCCAUUUUGUGUUCCCUCCUGACGGUGGGGCGCUGUGCUGGGAGGGGGUGGGGUUUAUGGUGAGAUUGUGUCCCAGCCUCUCCUACCGGGUUUGAUGUGGACCUUCUCUUGUUUGUCAGGCAGGUAGGAGUUGCUUAGACAGUGUUUAGGUUUUUUUGCAGAGGCAGUUAUUCCAUACGUAGCUGUAGGUUCGGUGUGUUUGUGGAAGGAGGUGAGUUCGGGAACCUGUUAACGACGUCAUCUUAAACUGGAACCCCCGAAAAAGGUUCAUGAUAAAAUACCUUAGCUUAUCAUCUGCAUCUGAAUAUUACUGAUUAUGGGAAUGAGACGGGGUUCAAUGGAAUAAAACAGCAGCCAAAACGUGGAAAAUACUAGGUAUACAAAAGGUAUUUUAAUGAUAGCUUAUUCUCAUUAAUCUAAAUCUACCAGAUAUGUAAUAAGAAUAAAUAAGCAAACACAGAAGCGAUUGACGGAGGAUAGCUGUCAGAAAUCUUGGUGCCCAAGUGAAAAGUGAAUAUGGAUUUUCACGUAUAUAGUUGUGAAAGGGAAGGUCCAGAAAGAUCUCUCUACGUUGGUUGUAUUCUCAGAACGAAGCUGAGGAUCGGGAAAAUCAUUGCUUUAAAGUUACCUAUGCUUGCUUAGCCUUGGAACAUUUCUGUAUGACUCAGGGGUACUGGCAUCCCCAUUCAAAGACCCCCUAGGUAUUUGCCGUGUUUUAUGAACAUUAUGAAUUCCAUCAUGAUCCAAUAGAACAAAAGCCAUGAGAAUAAUAGAGUGUGUGCAUAAGCAGGGAUGUGCAUUUACACUGGAAAUAAAAGUAGCAAUCAAGGUAGAGCUAAUUUUUUUAAAAAGCGAGAAAAUGAGAAAGUUCAUGUCUGAAUGCAGUGUAGGAAUGAUUCUGAAAGAAGAACGGGCAAAUCAAGCAAAUGUGAGAAGUAUUGAUUGUAUCCUACCAGCAAUAUCAGAAAAAGGGAUGAUGAAAACGUAUUUACUGAAUGAAAAAAAAAAAAAGAAACCGGAAAAGAAAACUGACCUUUUAAGCAUGUGGCUAGAGGAUUCCUGCUACCACUGCAGGUCAAUGAUCGGAUUAUGAUUCAGGAGAAGACGUGCAGGUUUUGGGCAAUGUAAAGCCUAAGCUUGGUGGCAGUGUUUCGAUGACCUCUUUCUCAGUAGAUUUCAGGCCUGGUAGCAUCUGGACCAUAUCAAAGCAUCUGGACAAGGCAGCCUGUGCAGGCACCUACAAACUCACAGGCAUCACCAGAAAGGAUGCUGCAGGCCUCAGCAGGCUUUCAAAGUGACUGUGAGUGGCCACCCCUACUAACAGUGAAGGUUUCUCUGGGUCAUAUUCAUGCUGUCUCCAGAUUCACUAAAGAUUUAUUAUACUUUACAUCCUGUUUUUCUAUAUUGUAGGGGAAUCAAGAAUGGGACUGUAUUCCCACUUUCAGCAAAUCAGCAUAAAGAAAGCAUAGCAGCCCGGAGGAGACAGCUGGGAGGGUAGCAGGGCCUGACUGGUGGGGCUCUGAAGCUGCAGUGUUAUCUUUUAAUUAACAAAUCAAGUAGACAUUUUAAGCUCCUAUAUGUGGGUGUAUUUGGUUUUGUCUUAAUCUUUAUAGAUGAUGUUAAAGAUAAUAAUUACCUUUUUCUCACUUAAAGUCCUUGGAGCUCUCUUCAUUCUUUGUGCUUAUUUACGCUAGGCACAAUUCAGAUAACACUCAUUUUAAAAGUUUCUAACAUGUCAAUCAUAUAUCCAUUUAUUCAUCUAUUCAAGAUAUAUUUAUUGUGCAAAUGCUAUGUACUUGGCAUUGGAAAUAAAGUUGUGGAUCAGGUGGUAAUUAUCCUUGAGCUCAUGGAGUUUAGAGCAUCAUAGGGCAAUAGAUAUUAAAAAAGUAGCCUAAUAACUAAUUGUAUUAAGAAUUUUGAAGAAUAACUUUAAGGCACUAUGUAAGUGUACGAGUUGUCAACUAAGUUGUAAUUUCCUUGAAGUCAGGGACCACUUUCUAUACUUCUUUUGGGUUUCUCUGUAGCUCCUAACAUAGAUCAUAAUAUAGAGUAUUAGAUGCUCAAUAAAUAUUUCAUUGAUUACCAUUUCUGUAUUUGAGGCUGAAAUGAUUAAUGUCAAAUCAAACAUUUUUACUUCCUCACUGAACAAACGUGAAGGCUGUACUGUAAUUUUAAUCUGUAAUUUGUACCUGAAGCCACUGUUUGCAAAACUCACUGAAGUUGUGACCCUUCUCCUAGACCUGUGCUCAGGCCAGAGGCUAUGUUUAAGUAAGGUCAGCUGAGUUCUUGAUCUCUGAAUCCUGUUGAUUGGUUACUGGGUCUCAGUUCAUAGCUCUGUUUUUUUUUUUUUUUUUUCAUAGCUCUGUUUUUGUUCAGUGGGCCUCCGUAGAGUUUGAAAGCAGUUCUUUGACUUGCCCUUGGUGUAGUUGCCCCUCCCCUACCUGCCGGGUGGCUGCUGCUCCAGCAUCCUGCCACAGAUCUAACAUGGUGGCUCAGGGUGCUCAAGGUGGCCUCAGCAGCUCGACUGUGUUUCAGGAUUUACAGUGAAGGUUAAAUGGGCUGGUAGGUAAUGCUGUUGGAACCUAAGGAGUUUCGUGUUAGUGUUAUGCCACUGCGGUAUGCUUGCUGAUUGGGCAGGAGCUUCAAUCCACUUGACGGUUAACAACAAAAUAGCAGAUCAAAUCAGGGCCAAAGUGUCUUUUAAGGGAUUGUCUAACAGACAGGCAGUUUUUGUUUGUUUUCUUAGCAAGUAGCUGUCCAUGUACUCUAACAUGGUGAUAACUUUGAACACUAAGGCAUCACUUGUUUUUCCUGGAGUAGCUGAUAUAUUGGUUUGGCCAAAAAGUUUGUUCGGGUUUUUCCAUAACAUUUUACGGAAUAUUAACUCAGUCAUUUUCAAAAUUAUUCUUAGUCCAUAGCAGUGGGCCUAUGGUUAUGUGCAAAGAUCCUUGAAUGUGUAUUUCAAAGGGACCUAAGAGUAAAAAUUGCCUUUUUUAUGGUCUCACAAAACAUGUUUUUGUACCCCUUGAAUUUUCAUGCAUGUCUUUUUCUGCUGCAGUGUAACAAGACGGGUGAGAACAACUUCAUCUGUGUAUCUUUAGUGUAUAUCACCUUGCUGUAGGACUGAGAAUGUAUUCUGUUGGGGGUAUAAAUAAGUAAAUAGAUGGCGACUGCUGAAUAUAUGAUGCCAUUUAAGAUGGGAUUUUCUCAGAAGACUCGGGAGAACUUUUGACAGUGGAUCCUGAAUUCCUUCAUUGAGUAUGAAAGUGAAGAAAAUUAAAAAAAAAAAAAAAAAAGAUUAGAGCUACAAUCUCACGAAGUGCCAGUUCAUUACAUGAGUAGAGAAAAGUACUAGGUCAUAUGUUCCGUUUACUGCUCUGGUAUAGAAAACCUUAACCUUAGGAAGUAGAAUGUACAAUUUUAGAGAACUCUUCUGGGCAGCCAGUAGCUAAAAACAUGUUUUAACCUGUGGGUCUUUAUUAAUAGAUAAUUUGCACAUCAAAAAUUUUAAAAUUGAUUCUCUUGGGUCUUACAGGUAAAGAAUCACACUACGUGCAAACAAUAAUGAUGAUUCUGUCUCUGCUUCUGUAUAAUUUAUUUUAUUAGUUUGGUCAGACUUUUAAAACAGUGAUAAAUAAUGGUGCCUUCAGGCACACUUGUCAAUGGAAAUUCCUCUUGUGUUUUGACAGUAGGUAUGACAUUGACCAUUGGUUGUUGAAUGAAGAACAUUUUUUUCUAUUUUAUUAAUAUAUUUUAAAAUUAUCAAGAAUGAAUGUUUAAUUUUUUCCAAAUGCUAGUUCAGCAUCUAUUGAGAUGGUUGCUUUAAUUCGCUUGGUUAUUGAUGUGAUCAGUUACAUUACAGAUUUAUCUUUUCUGUAUUAAAGAACCAUUCUAUCGUUCUUGGAAUGUUUCCUAACUGGCCAUGACCAUGGUGUCUUUUUUUUAAUGUUUACAUUACAUUAAAGGUUUGUAUUUGCUAAUAUUUUAUUUAUAAAUUUUAUACUAAUCUUUAUAAACUAGAUGUGUUUGUAGUUUCUUUUAUCUGCUUUGUCAGAUUUGUCCAUAAGGAUUAUUUUAGAUUGUAAGAUUAAUUACAAUGUGUUUCAUUUUUUCCUACACUUAUUAAGAGCUUAUCAAAGGAAUUAUCUGUUACUUCAAAGAAGAGAAACAUUUUCCCAUCAACUGUGUAGGCCAUGCAUUAUUUUUUGAAGGAAUGUCUUUGACGACUUUUCCCAAUUUAUUCCAUGGUUAUCAAUCUUUUACUUUUUCCAAAUGAAAACAAUUUUGUCAUUUUUUGUAGCUUGCCCUUUUUUCUAAUUUCAUAAAAUGUGUCUGUGUUUUUUUCCUCUCACCUCUCUGUUUUUAAACUGUAUUUGUCCUAGUUGGUUUAUUUCAUUGUUCUUUUAAGAUAGCUUUCGAAUUUAUUUAUGAAUUCCAAUUUACCUCUAUUUCACUAUUUCUUAGUUUUUUGAUUUGUAUUUUAUUCCUCAUUUCUGCUGGUUUUCUUGAAGUUUGUUCUGUUUUACUCUUCCUAACUUAAGUAUUUUGCCCAUUUAUUUUAUUUUUUAGAAAUUAAUUAUAAAAUCUUUGAAGUAACUUUGACUAUACAGCAGUAUUGUCCAAGUUUUUAUAUGUAGUGUUCUUAUUUUUGUUAUUUUCCAAAUGGUCUGUAGUUGUAAUUUUGGUUUCUUUUUCUAUCCAAAGGG